AACGUAGGAGACAAACGUUAUCCGGAGUUACUGGGCGUAAAGGGCGUGUAGGUGGUUGCGUAAGUCUGGCGUGAAAUUUUUCGGCUUAACCGGGAAAGGUCGUCGGAUACUGCGUAGCUAGAGGACGGUAGAGGCGUGUGGAAUUCCGGGUGUAGUGGUGAAAUGCGUAGAUAUCGGGAGGAACACCUGUGGCGAAAGCGGCGCACUGGACCACAUCUGACGCUGAGGCGCGAAAGCUAGGGGAGCAAACAGG
rnacentral:rRNA from 1 species